rnacentral:rRNA from 1 species
AAUGAACGCUGGCGGCGCGCCUAAUACAUGCAAGUCGAGCGAGAAGACGUAGCAAUACGUUUGUAAAGCGGCGAACGGGUGAGGAAUACAUGGGUAACCUACCCUAGAGUGGGGAAGUAACUAGCCGAAAGGUUAGCUAAUACCGCGUACGCUCCUUGGACUUCGGUUCAGGGAGGAAAGCGAUGCCGAGGGUAUCGCGCUCUUGGAUGGGCUCAUGUCCUAUCAGCUUGUUGGGAGGUAACGGCUCACCAAGGCUUCGACGGGUAGCUGGUCUGAGAGGACGAUCA